rnacentral:rRNA from 1 species
AACGAACGCUGGCGGCAGGCCUAACACAUGCAAGUCGAGCGAAGUCUUCGGACUUAGCGGCGGACGGGUGAGUAACGCGUGGGAACGUGCCCUUUGGUUCGGAAUAGCCCCGGGAAACUGGGAGUAAUACCGGAUGAGCUCUACGGAGGAAAGAUUUAUCGCCAAAGGAUCGGCCCGCGUUGGAUUAGGUAGUUGGUGGGGUAAUGGCCUACCAAGCCGACGAUCCAUAGCUGGUUUGAGAGGAUGAUCAGCCACACUGGGACUGAGACACGGCCCAGACUCCUACGGGAGGCAGCAUGGGGGAAUCUUAGACAGUGGGGGAAACCCUGAUCUAGCCAUGCCGCGUGAUCGAUGAAGGCCUUAGGGUUGUAAAGAUCUUUCAGUGGGGAAGAUAAUGACUGUACCCACAGAAGAAGCCCCGGCUAACUCCGUGCCAGCCGCCGCGGUAAUAC